rnacentral:rRNA from 1 species
UACAGGGGGGGCAAGCGUUGUUCGGAAUUACUGGGCGUAAAGGGCUCGUAGGCGGCCGGCUAAGUCCGACGUGAAAUCCCCAGGCUUAACCUGGGAACUGCGUCGGAUACUGGCGGGCUUGAAUCCGGGAGAGGGAUGCGGAAUUCCAGGUGUAGCGGUAAAAUGCGUAGAUAUCUGGAGGAACACCGGUGGCGAAGGCGGCAUCCUGGACCGGCAUUGACGCUGAAUAGCGAAAGCCAGGGGAGCAAACGGG